rnacentral:tRNA from 1 species
GCGAAAAUAGCUCAGUUGGUAGAGCACAACCUUGCCAAGGUUGGGGUCGCG